rnacentral:rRNA from 1 species
AACGGGGGGGGCGAAGCGUUAUUCAUCAUGAUUGGGCGUAAAGGGUGCGUAAGGCCGGGUUCAAACGUUUCGCUUAAAGGUUAGGGCUUAGCCUUCUCGCUGGCGAAAGUCGUGAAUUCUAUAGGAUUUAUGAGAGGAAAGUGGUACUCUUAAGUGUAGAGGUGAAAUUCGCAAAUACUUUAGAGGACUUGCAAUAGGCGAAAGCGGCUUUCUGGCAUUAAUUGACGCUGAGGCACGAAGAGCGUGGGGAGCAAACGGG